CCUACGGGUGGCUGCAGUAAGGAAUAUUGGUCAAUGGACGAAAGUCUGAACCAGCCAUCCCGCGUGCAGGAUGAAAGCCCUCUGGGUUGUAAACUGCUUUUCGCAGAGAAGAAAAGCUUCCAUUUAUGGGGGUCUGACGGUAUCUGCAGAAUAAGCACCGGCUAACUCCGUGCCAGCAGCCGCGGUAAUACGGAGGGUGCGAGCGUUAUCCGGAAUUACUGGGUUUAAGGGGUGCGUAGACGGAAGAUUAGAAAUCUUGUCGCUUAACGAUAAAAUUGCCAAUGAUACUGGUACUCUUGAAUUGGGUUGAGGGUAGCGGAAUGUGACAUGUAGCGGUGAAAUGCAUAGAUAUGUCAUGGAACACCAAUUGCGAAGGCAGCUAACUGGGCCGUGAUUGACGCUGAGGCACGAAAGCGUGGGGAGCGAACAGGAUUAGAUACCCUAGUAGUC
rnacentral:rRNA from 1 species